rnacentral:rRNA from 1 species
AGAGUUUGAUCAUGGCUCAGGAUGAACGCUGGCGGCGUGCCUAACACAUGCAAGUCGAGCGAGAAGCUGGAGAAUGACGCUUCGGUAGAUUUCACCAGUGGGAAGCGGCGGACGGGUGAGUAACGCGUAGGCAACCUGCCCUUCACACAGGGAUAGCCUCGGGAAACCGGGAUUAAGACCAGAUAAUGCAUCUGAUGUGCAUAUAUGAGAUGCCAAAGAUUUAUCGGUGAAGGAUGGGCCUGCGUCUGAUUAGUUAGUUGGUGAGGUAACGGCUCACCAAGGCGACGAUCAGUAGCCGAGCUGAGAGGCUGAACGGCCACAUUGGAACUGAGACACGGUCCAGACUCCUACGGGAGGCAGCAGUGGGGAAUAUUGCACAAUGGGGGGGACCCUGAUGCAGCAACGCCGCGUGAAGGAAGAAGGCUCUUGGGUCGUAAACUUCUGUCCUGGAGGAAGAAAGAAAUGACGGUACUCCUGGAGGAAGCCCCGGCUAACUACGUGCCAGCAGCCGCGGU